rnacentral:rRNA from 1 species
GUGGGGAAUUUUGGACAAUGGGCGCAAGCCUGAUCCAGCAAUGCCGCGUGCAGGAAGAAGGCCUUCGGGUUGUAAACUGCUUUUGUACGGAACGAAACGGUCCUGGCUAAUAUCCGGGGCUAAUGACGGUACCGUAAGAAUAAGCACCGGCUAACUACGUGCCAGCAGCCGCGGUAAUACGUAGGGUGCGAGCGUUAAUCGGAAUUACUGGGCGUAAAGCGUGCGCAGGCGGUGCUGUAAGACAGGCGUGGAAUCCCCGGGCUCAACCUGGGAAUUGCGCUUGUGACUGCAGUGCUGGAGUGAGACAGAGGGGGAUGGAAUUCCGCGUGUAGCAGUGAAAUGCGUAGAUAUGCGGAGGAACACCGAUGGCGAAGGCAAUCCCCUGGGCCUCCACUGACGCUCAUGCACGAAAGCGUGGGGAGCAAACAGGAUUAGAAACCCGAGUAGUCC